UACAGGGGGGGCAAGCGUUGUUCGGAAUUACUGGGCGUAAAGGGUCUGUAGGUGGCCAACUAAGUCAGACGUGAAAUCCCUCAGCUUAACUGGGGAACUGCGUCUGAUACUGGAUGGCUCGAGUGUGGGAGAGGAAUGCGGAAUUCCAGGUGUAGCGGUGAAAUGCGUAGAUAUCUGGAGGAACACCGGUGGCGAAGGCGGCAUUCUGGACCGACAUUGACGCUGAACGACGAAAGCUAGGGGAGCAAACGGG
rnacentral:rRNA from 1 species